rnacentral:rRNA from 1 species
CCUACGGGUGGCAGCAGUAGGGAAUUUUGCGCAAUGGGCGAAAGCCUGACGCAGCAACGCCGCGUGAUCGAGACGCCCUUCGGGGUGUAAAGAUCUGUCAGUGGGGACGAAACUUGACGGUACCCACAGAGGAAGCACCGGCUAACUCCGUGCCAGCAGCCGCGGUAAUACGGGGGGGGCAAGCGUUAUCCGGAUUUACUGGGUGUAAAGGGAGCGUAGACGGCUGUGCAAGUCUGGAGUGAAAGGCAUGGGCUCAACCUGUGGACUGCUUUGGAAACUGUGCGGCUUGAGUGUCGGAGAGGCAAGUGGAAUUCCUAGUGUAGCGGUGAAAUGCGUAGAUAUUAGGAGGAACACCAGUGGCGAAGGCGGCUUGCUGGACGAUGACUGACGUUGAGGCUCGAAAGCGUGGGGAGCAAACAGGAUUAGAUACCCCGGUAGUC